CUAGUGAGCAAGAUUCACAAAACAAACAGAAACAUGAACAGAAAUCUACCAACUGCGCAAAGAGAAAGAGGAGUGUUUACCCACUAUUCUGAAGGGAAAUUUGCGCUUCCUACCUGGUAAUUCAAAUAGCAUCCUUAAAAGCAAAGCAAACAAAACAAAAAGUAUAAUUCAACGUACUGCGAGGUAAAGCACUGAAAUGUGUAUUUGCUUUAAGAACUAACUAAUGCAACGCUAAGAGCGUCAUUAUUUUCUCCUGGCGGGACAGGACUGUGCUGUUGAGAGCUACAUGACAUUAAAUUAAAUGUAUAAUUCUGUGUUUGAUCUGCAAAUGUUGUGGAAAUUACACCCGGUCUGUUACUUACACACACAGAGUAACACUGAGCCAGCCAACAACGUCACAAAGUACUAAUCUGGAUUAGUCUCAGCGUGUGAGUGUCCGGAUUCAGUCUGAAUGAAGGGAGCAGGGCGCCUUCUGCUUGAAGAGGUGUAAAUUCCUGGGAGUUCUUCUGAGCCUGCUUUGUGGGAGUCAGGGACAGGAACUGCUGCUAAAGGAAAACAUAGAUUAUAUGGAAAUCCAACAGCGUGGAGUGCUCAUAAAACAACCAAAAAUGACAGCCAUGGCACCGAAAGAACGGUAUCAACUAUCUUCAUCAUCCCGGGGUGCAUAAAACCUGAAGACUCCCACUACAAUUUCUGCUAUUUAAAAAUCAACGAGCUUCCUUUUUAAUAUCCAGACUCAAUAAUAUUGCAUCAGAAUAACCUCAGUGAUGUCAUGUUUACAUACUUUCCAAAGUGAUUUGAAUAGUAGAAAACGUAGGCUUUGCACCCCACAUAGUGCAAAUGCUUUGAAAAACAUGAAAAAUGUUACCUAAAGGUAACGUUCAAGAACAAUUAUAUCACAUACUAGACCUAAGCUAUCCUGCAGAGAGAGUGAGAGUGAGGAUCUAUCAAUAAAUCCAAACUAAUGCUACUAAUACGUAUACUGUUAAAACAGAAAACAGUUUCCAUUCCUACAUUUGAACCAGCCAUAAAUUCUCUUGUUUCAAUUUCACUGUAAUACAAUUUCACUGUAAUAUGUAAGCUUUUAGGAAAAUAAAUAAUAAUUUUUAAUAAAAAUA